UACAGAGGGUGCAAGCGUUAAUCGGAAUUACUGGGCGUAAAGCGCACGUAGGUGGGAAGAUAAGUUUGAUGUGAAAGCCCUGGGCUUAACCUGGGAAUGGCGUUGAAGACUGUUUUCUAGAGUCGGACAGAGGGUUGUGGAAUUCCCGGUGUAGCGGUGAAAUGCGCAGAUAUCGGGAGGAACACCGGUGGCGAAGGCGGUUCUCUGGGCCUGUACUGACGCUGAGAGCGAAAGCGUGGGGAGCGAA
rnacentral:rRNA from 1 species